rnacentral:rRNA from 1 species
ACGAACGCUGGCGGCGUGCUUAACACAUGCAAGUCGAACGGAAAGGCCCUGCUUUUGUGGGGUGCUCGAGUGGCGAACGGGUGAGUAACACGUGAGUAACCUGCCCUUGACUUUGGGAUAACUUCAGGAAACUGGGGCUAAUACCGGAUAGGAGCUCCUGCUGCAUGGUGGGGGUUGGAAAGUUUCGGCGGUUGGGGAUGGACUCGCGGCUUAUCAGCUUGUUGGUGGGGUAGUGGCUUACCAAGGCUUUGACGGGUAGCCGGCCUGAGAGGGUGACCGGCCACAUUGGGACUGAGAUACGGCCCAGACUCCUACGGGAGGCAGCAGUGGGGAAUAUUGCACAAUGGGCGGAAGCCUGAUGCAGCAACGCCGCGUGCGGGAUGACGGCCUUCGGGUUGUAAACCGCUUUCGCCUGUGACGAAGCGUGAGUGGCGGUAAUGGGUAAAGAAGCACCGGCUAACUACG